CAAAGUUACAUGAACUUAACAUGAAUGUGUGUUUGGGCCUUUUUGGACACCUGAAAUAAUCCACAAACAUUGUCAUUUGAUACAAAAUGUUUUCUCAGUAUUAACCUCACUUUCCUGAAACUUUUGCAUUUCAGCAACUGCUCUCAAAUGAGGUCAUUUUUAAGUCAGUUCAGUAAAUCAAGAAUAAACUAUUUUGCCCUCAUAUAAAAUAGUUUAACAUAAAUUACAAUAAUCUCUUCAUUCUACUUUUUCAUAGAUUACAAAUUCAGACUUAAUAUUUGCAAAAUAAGUUUAUAGAUUUUGUUUGUGGAUUUUAAUCCUAAUAAUCAAAAGGCUUUAUUAAAAACACUGAGGUGAUGUCUCUCUAAAAUCCCAGCCUUCUUGUUGUAAAACACGUAGUGUUCAUUUUUUUUGUAUGUAAAUGUUUAUGUAAACAGUGGGCAUGAGUCAGUUUAUGUAUUUUCCUCUGAUCACUAUAGGCAGUGACAAACAGCUUCAGGUCAUUUACACUUUAAAGUGCAUCAUGUUCACUGAAGCUUUACUGCUGCUGCUGGCAAGUCUAAACUGCAUUCAUUCAUAUGAACUUUCUCAGCCUGAGUUUCUGACUGUUCGUCCUGAUGGCUCUCUAACUAUCGACUGUAAAGUCUCUUAUUCAGUUACUAGCUAUUAUACAGCCUGGAUCCGUCAGCCUGCAGGAAAACCUCUGGAGUGGAUCGGGUGGAUUGAUAGUAGUGGAGGCUUAGCCUACAAGGAUUCACUAAAAAACAAGUUCAGCAUCAGCAGAGACACCUCCAGUAAUACAAUAACAUUGAAGGGAAUCAAUAUGCAAGCUCAAGACACAGCUGUGUAUUAUUGUGCCAAAUAUCACAGUGACAGAAACUAACAGCCUCCCUGUACAAAAACAUUAUCACUGAAAGGUUAUCAGGUUUUCACAACUGACAUUGGAUUUUAACAACAAUUACAUAACAAUACACAAUAAAUAGCCUGAAUAUUAUUAACUGUAAAAAGAACUUUAUUAUUUGUUAAGGUA